rnacentral:rRNA from 1 species
AUACGUAGGGUGCAAGCGUUAAUCGGAAUUACUGGGCGUAAAGCGUGCGCAGGCGGUUUUGUAAGACAGAGGUGAAAUCCUCGGGCUCCACCGGGGAACUGCCUUUGUGACUGCAAGGCUAGAGUACGGCAGAGGGGGAUGGAAAUCCGCGUGUACCAGUGAAAUGCGUAGAUAUGCGGAGGAACACCGAUGGCGAAGGCAAUCCCCUUGGCCUGUACUGACGCUCAUGCACGAAAGCGUGGGGAGCAAACAGGAUUAGAUACCCUGGUAGUCCACGCCCUAAACGAUGUCAACUGGUUGUUGGGUCUUCAUUGACUCAGUAACGAAGCUAACGCGUGAAGUUGACCGCCUGGGGAGUACGGCCGCAAGGUUGAAACUUAAAGGAAUUGACGGGG